CCUACGGGGGGCUGCAGUGAGGAAUAUUGGUCAAUGGGCGCGAGACUGAACCAGCCAAGUAGCGUGAAGGAUGACUGCCCUACGGGUUGUAAACUUCUUUUAUAAGGGGAUAAAGUGAGGCACGUGUGCCGUUUUGUAGGUACUUUAUGAAUAAGGAUCGGCUAACUCCGUGCCAGCAGCCGCGGUAAUACGGAGGAUCCGGGCGUUAUCCGGAUUUAUUGGGUUUAAAGGGUGCGUAGAUGGGUUGUUAAGUCAGGGGGGAAAGUUCGCGGCUUAACCGUGAAAUUGCAAUUGAUACUGGCAGUCUCGAGUAGAGUUGAGGUAGGCGGAAUUCGUGGUGUAGCGGUGAAAUGCUUAGAUAUCACGAAGAACUCCGAUUGCGAAGGCAGCUUACUAA
rnacentral:rRNA from 1 species